rnacentral:lncRNA from 1 species
AACUCUAGAGGCCUUAAUGCGGCUCUCAAUACGAUCAAGCAAAGCUUUCACCGUUUGAAUGGUAGCUAUUGAUUCAAUUAGAAGGGCAAGUUGCUCAAAUGGCAUCGACUUGACCGAUUUCCCAUUGAUUUUCAAGGAAUCAAAGGCUUUUGCCAAGUCUAAAGUAGUUUUUCUCUGCCUAAGGAACUGCCUCCAGCACCUGAAUAAUACAAAAUUAUUAGACUAUUCACCAAAAUGUGCUGCAAAAAGUGAUUUCUUAUAAUUUCAUAACAAUAAUGUUCUCUACUACUGCAAAUAAUGUCCUUUAAAGAUUAUAACAGAGUAUAAAUAAAUGCUAUCAAAUAGAAAAUACUGGUCUUAUACCUUGCUAAUUUUCGAGAAAGCAGAUCAGCUUGUUUGUGCAUCCUGGUACAAUUCACUCGAAUAGAUUUCUGUGUCCUUCCUCUCUGCCUCAAGUACUCUGCUCUUUGUCUCCUUGCCUUUUAUCAAGAAAUUAAUAAGAAAAACAUAGUACAUGCAAUAAAAUAUAAAGGAAAAAGCAGAUUUGCACUUGAAGACAGAAUCAUACUAUAGAAAUUUCAUAGAACAUGCAUAUACCCUUUGCAGUCUGUCUUCCAACUGGUCUCUCAUUUUCCUCCUCUCAACCUCACGUUGAUGAGAGAUAGAAUUAGCCACUCGUCGAACUUGCAAAAUCCUAGCACAGGCUUUCUUCUUCUCUGCUUCCAGCAGUCCCAAUCGCUUUUUCUCAGCAGCCACACGCUUUUGAUGAAUAGCAGCACGAACACGCUCCUUAUAUUUACUUUCUCUAGCCAUCCUUCGUAACAUUGAUUGUGAUGAUCUCUCAUUUUGGG